AUACGUAGGGGGCGAGCGUUGUCCGGAAUGAUUGGGCGUAAAGGGCGCGUAGGCGGCCCGGUAAGUCUGGAGUGAAAGUCCUGUUUUUAAGAUGGGAAUUGCUUUGGAUACUGUCGGGCUUGAGUGCAGGAGAGGUAAGUGGAAUUUCCAGUGUAGCGGUGAAAUGCGUAGAGAUUGGGAGGAACACCAGUGGCGAAGGCGACUUACUGGACUGUAACUGACGCUGAGGCGCGAAAGUGUGGGGAGCAAACAGGAUUAGAUACCCUGGUAGUCCACACUGUAAACGAUGAAUGCUAGGUGUAGGGGGUAUCGACCCCUUCUGUGCCGCAGUCAACACAAUAAGCAUUCCGCCUGGGGAGUACGGCCGCAAGGUUGAAACUCAAAGGAAUUGACGGGG
rnacentral:rRNA from 1 species